CCAGACUUGACAUGCCUGGAAUCCUGCAGAGAUGUGGGAGUGCCCGCAAGGGAACCAGGACACAGGUGCUGCAUGGCUGUCGUCAGCUCGUGUCGUGAGAUGUUGGGUUAAGUCCCGCAACGAGCGCAACCCUCGCCUUUAGUUGCCAGCAUUCAGUUGGGCACUCUAGAGGGACUGCCGGUGUCAAGCCGGAGGAAGGUGGGGAUGACGUCAAGUCCUCAUGGCCUUUAUGUCUGGGGCUACACACGUGCUACAAUGGUCGGUACAAUGGGCUGCCAAGGCGCGAGCCGGAGCUAAUCCCAGAAAACCGAUCCCAGUUCGGAUCGAAGUCUGCAACUCGACUUCGUGAAGUCGGAAUCGCUAGUAAUCGCGGAUCAGAACGCCGCGGUGAAUACGUUCCC
rnacentral:rRNA from 1 species